UGUGUCCAUGGCCUCUUGCGAGGCGCUGGACACGCGCUCUUUCGAGCGAUGUGGUUGCCUUGAAAGCCUCGCCUCGAAAGACGGGGCCUUGGAGCCCACCAGCCCGGAGGUUGAUGGGCCCUCUUUGGAUGGCGGAGCAGUACUGGCUGCACCCGCCAAGGGGGCGGAUGGCGUCAUCGCUGGCUCACUACGCGUGUGCCAGGCAGCCGCCGAAGGCCGUUGUGGUGCAGCCCCCUGACGCACCACUUCGGCGAAGCUGGUUUUUGGCAGCAUGGGCAGGACCGCGAGUACGCGGCAUGCUCCCCAUUACAGUUCGCACAGUGAAGAGAGUUUUCACAGGAUUCAGAGGUAUGUUCAUGAUUACUGCAUUUCGCACAAGUUUGCCGCCCUCGGCAGUUCUGUGAACUGUGCCCAAAUCGCUGGCACUUAAAACAUCUCAGAGGAUUUGGCACGUAUGGCCUCACACGAAGUUUGAUGUACCCGGCCUCGAUGGACUCGGGCAGAACACUUGAAUUGAAAACGGCGAUCAGGGAGUGAUGGGAAGGAACUAGCCAUAAGGAUAUAUGGAAUUUUCGGCAGCAACGCCAGCCACCCACCAUGGAGCCCAACAAGGGGACGCUGCAGGGCCUGUGAACACAGGUCCCGCAGACGCCAG